UAAAAACUGCCACCGGGUAGAAAAAAUGCUAUUGCAUUUGUUUGUGCGUCGUUAGGUCUUAGAAGACGUGCAAAUGAAUGCUUUUUUUUG
rnacentral:ncRNA from 1 species